rnacentral:rRNA from 1 species
UACGUAGGUGGCAAGCGUUGUCCGGAUUUAUUGGGCGUAAAGAGCGUGUAGGCGGCCAGGUAGGUCUGGUGUGAAAACUCGAGGCUUAACCUUGAGAUGUCAUCGGAAACCAUUUGGCUAGAGUCCGGAAGAGGAAAGUGGAAUUCCUGGUGUAGCGGUGAAAUGCGCAGAUAUCAGGAAGAACACCAAUGGCGAAAGCAGCUUUCUGGGACGGUACUGACGCUGAGACGCGAAAGCGUGGGGAGCGAACAGG